UUUAGUGUUGCAUUCCGUGAUCAAUUCAAGAUUGUGAACAUCAUCGCGGGAAGUAUGAAUUCAAUAGGAUCUUCACCAUACAAUGAAGUAACUUAACGCACUCCCGGCAUUACUCAAUCUGGACAUAUGUAGCUAUAAAGACCAUGCUUUGACAGAAACUGUGAUACAAAUGUUUCUGACAAUGAUUUGUAAAUCAUCUUGCUGUUGUUCUGUGGUAAG